rnacentral:sRNA from 1 species
UGAUUGGAACUGCGCCCUACAACGAUUU